UAAUUUAUCUCAGCCGCUCCACUA
rnacentral:tRNA from 1 species